ACCCAUCCCGAACACGACCGUUAAGCCCUCCAGCGCCAAUGGUACUUGGACCGCAGGGUCCUGGGAGAGUAGGACGUUGCCAGGC
rnacentral:rRNA from 1 species